CGCGCAGGCGGUCGAUUUAGUCGCGUGUGAAAGCCCCCGGCUCAACUGGGGAGGGUCACGCGAUACUGAUCGACUCGAAGGCAGGAGAGGGUAGUGGAAUUCCCGGUGUAGUGGUGAAAUGCGUAGAUAUCGGGAGGAACACCAGUGGCGAAGGCGACUACCUGGCCUGUUCUUGACGCUGAGGCGCGAAAGCUAGGGGAGCAAACGG
rnacentral:rRNA from 1 species